GGCUGCAACCCCCUCUUCUCCAUUGGUGAGGAACACCACCAGAGGAUGCAUUGCGUUUUGGAGCUUCCUCUAAUGUCGCUCGAUCGGGAGAUUAGAUGAUUUGCCCCACUUUACAAGGGGUUAGAUGAUUUUCCCCAGGGUUGUCUCAAUGACCAGUGGCCCCGGCCCCACCCGACAGCCUCUCAGGGGGCAAAUUAUCUAAGUGGAAAGUAAAGUGGGGCAAAAGAUCCAAUUUUCCAUCGAGGGAGCCUGCCAAUGGAGGUCAUCGCCUCUCCAUCUCGAUCCGUCUGCCGUCGGGUCCACGACGGAGCAGCUGGAUCCGCCAUGCAGGCCAUGGAUGGGUGCCUUGGAGCUCCUCUGCCGUCGCCUGAUCUGCCCACCCGCCCGUCCUGCGGAUCCGGCUAACAGCCUCGCCACCGGCCCGAUUCAGAUAGACGCCCACAACCUCCUUCCGCCACCUGCUCCAUGCAUGCCCCCAGGUCCGACCGAUCCUGUGUCGCUCAUCCUCGCUGCUUUUUUGUUUGAGGAAAACUCGCUGCUUCUUUUGCUCGCAGCUCGCGAGGAGGCCAGGCGCCUCGUCCAGCCGCCUCGAUCCGGCCUUCUCUACCCCCAGCUCUAGGCCUCAAACGACUCGCUCUUUGGAGAUCGCGGGUCCUCUGUCGAGCGAGGGCGCCGGUGGCGGUGUUCGCUCGGGUGGACUCUGUUCCAUUUUCUUUGCUCCUUCGCGCUUUGGAGAUUCCUUCCGUUCCCUUUCUCUGCAUGUUUUGAUUUCUAAUGUGGCUUGUUGAUUCUCAUGACAACUCUUGUACGCAUUUAAAUUGGUGAGAAUAUAUAUAUGUAUAUCAGCGAGGUGGAACUAUUUAAUUGAA